UGCAGUCGAGCGCCCCGCAAGGGGAGCGGCAGACGGGUGAGUAACGCGUGGGAAUCUACCUAGCUCUACGGAAUAACCCAGGGAAACUUGGACUAAUACCGUAUACGUCCUUCGGGAGAAAGAUUUAUCGGAGUUGGAUGAGCCCGCGUUGGAUUAGCUAGUUGGUGGGGUAAUGGCCUACCAAGGCGACGAUCCAUAGCUGGUCUGAGAGGAUGAUCAGCCACACUGGGACUGAGACACGGCCCAGACUCCUACGGGAGGCAGCAGUGGGGAAUAUUGGACAAUGGGCGAAAGCCUGAUCCAGCCAUGCCGCGUGAGUGAUGAAGGCCCUAGGGUUGUAAAGCUCUUUCAACGGUGAAGAUAAUGACGGUAACCGUAGAAGAAGCCCCGGCUAACUUCGUGCCAGCAGCCGCGGUAAUACGAAGGGGGCUAGCGUUGUUCGGAAUUACUGGGCGUAAAGCGCACGUAGGCGGACUAUUAAGUCAGGGGUGAAAUCCCGGGGCUC
rnacentral:rRNA from 1 species